AGGAUGUCGAUCGACGUUGGGCCUGGUGACAGCACACCCGACAUGGCCAAAGUGCAGCCUAUCAGUUGAGUGCCCCCGAAUGGACGAUCAACAUCGGAAAAUGAAGCAGAGCCAGAACCAGCAUGUCUAGGAUGUGCAGAUUUGAGUCUACCUAAUUUUCUAGACAUUGGCAAGUGCCUGAAGUUGUCUGGAGAUUUGUGCAAUGCCGACAUCUGCCUAAAUGAAACUGGCCUUACAUGCGCUGGAGACACGCCUGUGGAUUGCCUCUUGACUUACGUUUUCACCACCGCUCCCAGUCAAGUUACAAAACCUCUGGCUUGCGAUUUCAUCAUAAUCCUCACCAAUCUUUUUGGGGCUGCUGGAUCUUCAACACUGAAGCCUUUGCUCUGUGCGGUUCAGUCGACGGUGAAUGUCACCUGUAUUGGCUGCUAGGCCAGAAAUACGAGCAUUCUUGAUCCCCUUGCAUCUUUCGAACACAGUACGAAGCUAUCGGUCAACUUGUUGAGCAUUGCGUUGCCAUUUACAGGCUAACAAGCGUCUUCUGUGCCAUGAGGACACAUUAUAUAAGAUUAUGUGAGCAUUAUUUGAGCAUUAUCUUGUUUGAUAGGAUGCCACUGUUCUGAGUUAUGAAAAUUUUCGCAACACUAUCUGUAUUUUGGGAGAAACUACAAGCAAGGUGUUAGGGCCAUGCCUACACAAUUUAGAAGAAUUUAAAAACGGGUAAGUUUAACUGAGUCGCUCUAGGUAGGGCGCUAACCGCAUGGCGAUGACUGGGAAAAUCUGAAGUAAUUUGCA